UACGGAGGGUGCAAGCGUUAUCCGGAUUCACUGGGUUUAAAGGGUGCGUAGGUGGGUUGGUAAGUCAGUGGUGAAAUCUCCGUGCUUAACAUGGAAGCUGCCAUUGAUACUACUGAUCUUGAAUUUUCAGGAGGUAAGCGGAAUAUGUCAUGUAGCGGUGAAAUGCUUAGAUAUGACAUAGAACACCAAUUGCGAAGGCAGCUUACUACAGGAAUAUUGACACUGAUGCACGAAAGCGUGGGGAUCAAACAGG
rnacentral:rRNA from 1 species